rnacentral:rRNA from 1 species
CCUGAGAAACCCGAAAGAUCGAAUGGGGAGAUUCAUCGUCAGCGAUUCUGGUACGUGUGCGGUUCGCGAUGUCGGAGACUUCGGUCUCACGGCACGCGUCCGCAUGUUUUUUAUUGCCGGAGUCGUCGGCGUGCACUUCUCCCCUAGUAGGACGUCGCGACCCGUUGGGUGUCGGUCUACGGCACGGUAGGGCAGCCUGUCUCGUGUGGCGCUUCACGGCGUUCACCGCGGGGCAGACCUCCGUCCGCCCGACCGACUGCUCGGCGGUACUCGCAUGAUAUCUAGUCGCAGCCAUUCGAACUGCGUCCGGCCCGUCGCAAGCGAGGCAAGUGUCCCGGCUGUACGGAUCUAAUGCCGUCAUCGGGCCUUGCCAGCUGUUGGCUGACGGUGUCCUAGGACAGGCUAACAAAAUUAUGAUAUCGGUCAGCGACGCUACUGCUUUGGGUACUUUCAGGA